CAUAAACUGGGGAGAAAAAUGGGAUUUGCUGGGAUUUGGGUUGUGGAAUUGGGGAGAAAACAGGAUUUGGGUCAUAAACUGGGGAGACAAAUGGGUUUUGGUGGGAUUUGGGUCAUGGAAUUGGGGAGAAAAAUGGGAUUUGAGUCUUAAACUGGGGAUAAAAUGUGAUUUGGUGGGAUUUGGGUCAUGGAAUUGGGGAGAAAAAUGGGAUUUGUUGGUAUUUGGGUCAUAAAUUGGGGAGAAAAUGGAAUUUAAUAGGAUUUGCGUCAUGCAGUUGGGGAGAAAAAUGGGAUUUGGCGAGAUUUGGAUCAUAAACUGGGGAUAAAAAUGGGAUUUGUUGGGAUUUGGGUCGUGGAAUUUGGGAUAAAAAAGGGAUUUGUUGGGAUUUGGGUCAUGGAAUUGGGGAGACAAACGGGAUUUAGUUGGAUUUGGGUCAUAAACUGGAGAGAAAAAUGGGAUUUGCUGGGAUUUGGGUGGUGGAAUUGGGGAGAAAAAUGGGAUUUGUUGGCAUUUGGGUUGUGGAAUUGGGAAGAAAACAGGAUUUGGGUCAUAAACUGGGGAGAAAAAUGGGUUUUGGUGGGAUUUGGGUCAUAAACUGGGGAGACAAAUGGGAUUUGGGUGGUGGAAUUGGAGAGAAAAAUGGGAUUUGUUGGGAUUUGGGUGGUGGAAUUGGGGAGAAAUGGGAUUUAGUAGGAUUUGGGUCAUGGAAUUGGGGAGACAAAUGGGAUUUGGUGCGAUUUGGGUGGUGGAAUUGGGAUCAAAACGGGAUUUGGGUCAUAAACUGGGGAGAAAAAUGGGAUUUGGGUGGAUUUGGGUCAUGGAAUUGGGGAGACAAAUGGGAUUUGGUGGGAUUUGGGUCGUGGAAUUGGGGAGAAAAAUGUGAUUUGGUGGGAUUUGGGCCGAGGAAUUGGGGAGAAAUGGGAUUUAGUGGGAUUUGGGUCAUAAACUGGGGAGACAAAUGGGAUUUGGUGGGAUUUGGGUCAUGGAAUUGGGGAGAAAUUGGUUUUGGUGGGAUUUGGGUCGUAGAAUUGGGGAGAAAAAUGGGAUUUGUUGGUAUUUGGGUCAUAAAUUGGGGAGAAAAUGGAAUUUAAUAGGAUUUGGGUCAUGCAAUUGGGGAGAAAAAUGGGAUUUGGCGGGAUUUGGGUCAAGGAAUUGGGGAGAAAUGGGAUUAGUAGGAUUUGGGUCAUAAACUGGGGAGACAAAUGGGAUUUGGUGGGAUUUGGGUCAUAAACUGGGGAGACAAAUGGGAUUUGGGUGGUGGAAUUGGAGAGAAAAAUGGGAUUUGUUGGGAUUUGGGUGGUGGAAUUGGGGAGAAAAAUGAGAUUUGUUGGGAUUUGGGUGGUGGAUUGGGGAGAAAUGGGAUUUAGUAGGAUUUGGGUCAUGGAAUUGGGGAGACAAAUGGGAUUUGGUGCGAUUUGGGUGGUGGAAUUGGGAUCAAAACGGGAUUUGGGUCAUAAACUGGGGAGAAAAAUGGGAUUUGGGUGGUGGAAUUGGGGAGAAAAAUGGGAUUUGUUGGGAUUUGGGUCGUAGAACUGGGGAUAAA
ensembl:lncRNA